GACGAACGCUGGCGGCGUGCUUAACACAUGCAAGUCGAACGGUGAAGCGCCUUCCUUUUUGGUGGGUGUGGAUGAGUGGCGAACGGGUGAGUAACACGUGAGUAACCUGCCCCCUUCUUCUGGAUAACCGCAUGAAAGUGUGGCUAAUACGGGAUAUUCUGGGUCUGUCGCAUGAUGGGUCUGGGAAAGAUAUUGUUUCGGUGGGGGAUGGGCUCGCGGCCUAUCAGCUUGUUGGUGGGGUGAUGGCCUACCAAGGCGGUGACGGGUAGCCGGCCUGAGAGGGUGGACGGUCACACGGGGACUGAGACACGGCCCAGACUCCUACGGGAGGCAGCAGUGGGGAAUAGUGCACAAUGGGCGCAAGCCUGAUGUAGCGACGCCGCGUGAGGGAUGGAGGCCUUCGGGUUGUGAACCUCUCUCGCCAGUGAAGCAGGCCUGCCUCGUUUGUGGGUGGGUUGACGGUAGCUGGAUAAGAAGCGCCGGCUAACUACGUG
rnacentral:rRNA from 1 species